ensembl:lincRNA Gm8066 predicted gene 8066
GGUGGCGACGCGGGGGAGCCGUGCCUUAGGUUGCGGGCUGCAGCGGGGAGCGGCGGGGGGUGCGGGGGUCGCGGCGGGUCGCCGUCGGAGAGCGCGGUCGGUGGCGGUGGGAGCCGCGGCCGCGGUGGCGUUGGAGGGGGCGGCCCCGCGUCCGUGUCACGUGGUACGAGGCGGGCAGCCAUCUUGCUACAAACACAAACAGAGAGGAGCGGCCGCCGCGGGAGCGCCAGCGCCCCCCCCAGUCCCCCCCUGCCGCCGCCGCCGCCGCCGCCGCCGUCCCGGCCCUCCGCGCCACCCGCCCGUCACCGCCGCCGCCGCUGCCGCGCCCGGGUCACCAACGCCCCGGGGGACCGGGAACCUCGCGCCCCCCCCUCCGAUUCCUGGCGUCCUGCAGCGGAUGGCGACUGGAGAGGCACACUGGUCCAGCCUCCUGCCCAGCCUGUGAUAAAAAACCCACGUAUUCCCCCCGGACACUGCCUGUCCUUCCUUCUCU